rnacentral:rRNA from 1 species
UACGUAGGUCCCGAGCGUUGUCCGGAUUUAUUGGGCGUAAAGCGAGCGCAGGUGGUUUAUUAAGUCUGGUGUAAAAAGCAGUGGCUCAACCAUUGUAUGCAUUGGAAACUGGUAGACUUGAGUGCAGGAGAGGAGAGUGGAAUUCCAUGUGUAGCGGUGAAAUGCGUAGAUAUAUGGAGGAACACCGGUGGCGAAAGCGGCUCUCUGGCCUGUAACUGACCCUGAGGCUCGAAAGCGUGGGGAGCAAACAGG